rnacentral:tRNA from 1 species
AGGGGCGUAGUUCAAUCUUCGGUAGAGCACCGGUCUCCAAAACCGGUGUUGGGAGUUCGAGUCUCUCCGCCCCUG